UUCAGCUUCUCAAAAUGAGGUUCCCUUCUCAGCUCCUGGGGCUGCUGAUGCUCUGGAUCCCAGGAUCCAGUGCGGAUAUUGUGCUGACACAGACCCCACUGUCCCUGUCCAUUGCCCCCAGAGAGCCGGCCUCCAUCUCCUGUAGGGCCAGUGAAAGCCUCCUAUACAGAGAUGGAAACACCUAUUUGUAUUGGUACCUGCAGAAACAAGGCCAGUCCCCACAGCGCCUCAUCUAUGAGGUUUCCAUCCGUAAAUCUGGGGUCCCGAACAGGUUCAGUGGCAGUGGGUCAGGGACAGAUUUCACCUUGAGAAUCAGCAGGGUGUAG